rnacentral:sRNA from 1 species
CCAGAUCCUGCCCUACAUUGAUGGGUUCCGCCACGUCCAGAAGAUUUCAGCAGAGGCAGAUGUGGAGCUCAACCUGGUGCGCAUUGCUAUCCAGAACCUGCUGUACUAUGGCGUUGUGACACUGGUGUCCAUCCUCCAGGAAGCUGAUCCAGUUCGGGCUUAUGAAGAACCUCAUCAGGCGACUACAGAAGUAUCCUGUGCGGGUGACUCGGGAAGAGCAGAGCCACCCUGCCCGGCUUUAUACAGGCUGCCACAGCUAUGACGAGAUCUGCUGCAAGACAGGCAUGAGCUACCAUGAGCUGGAUGAGCGGCUUGAAAAUGACCCCAACAUCAUCAUCUGCUGGAAGUGAGGCUGGUAGUGGCUGGAUGGACACAUUGCUGUGGGUAGUCCCUCCUACCAGGAGGCUUGUCAUACUGUCUAGAGGUUGACUCUUAGUUCUGUAAAUAAAGACAUCCAUUUCA